rnacentral:rRNA from 1 species
GAUGAACGCUAGCGGGAGGCCUAACACAUGCAAGUCGAACGGGAUUGAGAGCUUGCUCUCAUGAGAGUGGCGCACGGGUGAGUAACGCGUAUGCAACCUGCCUUUAACAGAGGGAUAGCCCAUAGAAAUGUGGAUUAAUACCUCAUAGUUCUGAGAGAUCGCAUGAUUUUUCAGAUAAAGCUCCGGCGGUUAAAGAUGGGCAUGCGUGACAUUAGCUAGUUGGUGAGGUAACGGCUCACCAAGGCGACGAUGUCCAGGGGUUCUGAGAGGAUGAUCCCCCACACUGGUACUGAGACACGGACCAGACUCCUACGGGAGGCAGCAGUGAGGAAGAUUGGUCAAUGGGCGCAAGCCUGAACCAGCCAUCCCGCGUGCAGGAUGACGGCCCUAUGGGUUGUAAACUGCUUUUAUACACCCAGAAAAAUCCGAACGUGUUCGGACCCGACGGUAGUGUAUGAAUAAGCAUCGGCUAACUCCGUGCCAGCCGCCGCAGUAAAAC